rnacentral:lncRNA from 1 species
GAAGGUCAAGAGUUCGAGGCUCUGCGCGAACAAAGGAUUUAAUUUUUAUUGCUUGGCCGUGGAGGUGUUAUAGUUUGACUGAAAUUUGAGUGUUUGAGGAGUGUGGAGAUGUGUGGUCGAUUUUUAGGAGGCUAGUGAGAGGGGAUUUCGGUUGUUAAGGGUUUGGAUAGGGGGUGGUUGGAGAAUUUGGAGGAGAGGAUUAAGGGAUGUGGUGAGAGUUUGUGCUGAAUGGGUUUUCUUUUUUCAAAAUUUUGGUACCCUCUCCCCAAAAUUUCCCAAUUUGUUGACGGUAAAUCCUUCCCCUCUUGGCCGAAAUUUCUUCUAAGUGCUCCCUUUCUCUUCUUCUCUUUUUGCAAAUUCAAUUUUUGUUUUGUUUUCUCUCAACUCCC